AAAUGAAAUAUCCCCUAGCAAAAUGACAUUAGUUGAGGAGACAGUAAAGACAUAAAAUGAUACCAUACUAAAACAGGUGCAACACCCAAACAGGUCAAACAUUGAGUACACAGUCUUACACCACAUCAUAAUCCAACAACCUCAAAGCUUCACAGUGCAUCUGUCAAUCAACAACCACAACAACAACAACAACAACAACAAGAGGGCAACCAGGGUCAGCUAAGAGCUAAUGCUCCACACAACCACACAGAGGUUGAAGACAGGAGCUGGGCGGUUAGCAGCACACACGCCACGACAGGUCAAUAAUAAAGUAGCCAGCGGCAUUAGCAUUGUUAGCAUGAGCACUAUAAUGGUCACCCACAGCACACAGUGGAGACAUCGACUGAUCAUGUUAUAGGAAGCACCAAAGGCCCAAGCUUACCUCGGCCGGGUGAAGCAGUGCUGUCCAGCAAUCUCGGCUGUUACGCUGUGGUAGGAAGAGGCCGUGACUGGUCCAAGUUUAUCUGGAGUGAAACAACUCCUCCUCGGUGAUGAGAUGUGACGAAUCACUAACCGGUCCUGGGUUUUUGUCCCAUAUCGUCGUUCGGUGUGUUUGGGAAGUUUGUCGACAGGCUUGCAGGUUAAAAAAAAAAAAAAAGCGGUCGUGUUGUGCAGCAGUUGUAACGUUACAGGGGAGCUAGCCUAGCACAGAGGCUAACAGCAGCAGUUAGCUAGCAAGACAUGAGAGUGGACGGGGGAGCUGCACGCGCUACUACAACGCAAUGGCGGAUCAUGGAGCCUCUCAACAGUUCCCGGAAGCGAGCAGCAGAAGAAUGGAGUCAAUGGACCGUCUGUGUUGCACCUACAAAGGAGCACACAUGAGCCCAUAGAGCAGUAGACCCUGGGGACGACCCCCUUUGGUGUGCUGAUCUGUUCCUGUCGGUGUUAAGGCCUUCUCCCUAUUCCCCGUGAGGAAGUGCAGCUCUGGAAGUAAUAUGCGAGCAUGAUGAUCCACUUCCCCGUCCUGACCCAGACUUGUAGAAGGAUGGUCCCACUCCAGCGAGGACUGAUUGAGGUUGCACAAUGUUUAUAUCCAAUAGAUCUUCUUCUUGUGUCUUGCGUACUUACAAAUAUCUCUAUUACAUAUUGAAAAUAUAAUCCAGUAUCUGGAUUACUAAAGUAAUUUAUCUUUCUAAUCUCCAUCUAAUUUUCUUUUUGUAAACUUGAACAUAGAAGAUAUAUUACUGGGUAAGAGAAAAAUCAAGGUUACUAUUGUUUGGAAUGUUGUGACUGUAUGAGCAUUAGCUAAUAUGCAUGGUAGGCCUGUUCACCAGGGGUGAGACUGAGGGUCUUCCCUCAGACAAAGCUAUAUGAAAAAUAUACGUGCCCUCAAUACACCUUAAUUCACUUCCCUAGUUUGGCUCAGUUUUUCAGUUGAGCAUAACCACAUCAAAUACAAAAAAGGCUGCCCUAAGGUGUUUUUUUGUUUGUUUUAUUCAUUAGACCAACUGGUGGCAGGCUAGCUGCCUCCUCUGACAGCUGGAUUGUAGUGGGAAUUGGAUAACAAAUGACAAAAGAGGUCCACCUUAUCUUUGGUCACUCCAAGUCCAAAGCUACCCUGAGAACAUGAGUGGGUGGCGUAAAGGGCCUUCUGGUGACUACAGUACAUUGAUCAAAUGUGUUUCCAGUGACAUUUUAAGGUGUAUGUUAUAUUUCUUUUGGCAUAGUAUAAGAGCCUGGUUAAACAAAAAAACAAGAUAAGGAAACUGGUUAGAACAGACCUACGUAGGAAGCUAUAGAAAAAUAAGACAAGUGAGAUAUGGCAGGGAAAGGACAUAGUUUUCAUUUCUUAGUAAGAAAACAUUUUCUUCCAUUUGAAGAAAUGAGAGAAUGGUGUGUUCAAAUGGCAAAUAUAAAAGGGUUCUCUAAAUUACAGUCGUGUGUUCUGAUACAGAUUGUCUGAGAAUUGAUUUCAAAGUGGAUCUGGAUUGCUCUCAUUAUUUGAUGCUUUUAUUCAAUGCCCAACAAUUUUAUACAUUUUUGUAUGAGGGGCACGAGCACAGAUCAACCUGUGUGCUCACUGAAACCAAUGCCUCUGCUCUUUUGAAAUCCCCCUGAAUCCUAUCUGUGGUUGACCAGCAAGGGGAAUCACAGGUAAUUCUAAUUCAUUACAGGGCAUUUCACAGCUGAGUCAACACUCAGCACAAAAGCGUUCAAGCAGUAUCAGCCUCCUCACAGGAUCGGGAAACACAUCCGGUGAAGAGUGGUGUUGUUGAAAGAAAAAAAAAAGGAGGUUCUCGUGUGGGAUUUGUAUGGGUUUCUUUGUCAGCAAUGAGAUGUUCCCGUGUGUCACGGUGACUAAGAAGCCUGUGUAUCAAACCACGUAUUGUAACACAAAACCCCUCAUUUCCAUCAAAACAAAAUGAAAGGGGAUUGCAGGUCUUUGUGGCCCUGUUGAAUCUGUAGAUCAAACUGAAAGUGGAUCACGGGCUAUAUUUGUCUAGAGGCUUUUCUCAGCAGCACAAUUCAAACUGUUAAAUCAAGUAAAAUAUUUGCAUUAUAAAGCAUGCGUCAUUACAGCCAUUGAGCUUUUCAACCAAUCAACGCUGCAGCACUACAAUUUUGGCAGCAAUAGCUAUUUAUAUGUACAGUAUUUGCAAAUGCUUUGCAUCUCAUCCCUUUGCUGUGUGUUGUUUCGUCAUGUACUGUAUAGCCAGCAGUUUUCCCCCAUCAGAGCCUUCCUGAGCCCUGAGAAACCUAUUAAUCUUUAACUAGGAGCUAUAGUGGCAGCCGGUGCUUUUAAGCCUGAUCUUUAUUGCAGCAAGCAGCAGGAUAUACAUGCCCAGAGUCUACAUUAAGAGCUCUGCUCUGUUCAGUUGUGCAAACAUGUAUAUUGCACAGAGAGAUGCUGUUUUUGUCUCCCCCAUAAACAGGAUGUGUUUGGCUCUGUAUAGUCGUCUGAAAACAGGGCCGGUUUGAGUUCAUAUUCUAUUUUAUAAGCACUGCAGUUUAUCCUGAUAUGACACAAAUUAAAUCUUCUAAUGUCAUUUCAUAAAAUUUCAUUUCAUUUUUAUGAUUCUUAAUUUCAUCAUUUUAGCUGCACCUAAAUUAUAUUCAGUGGGAAAAAACAGAGUCGUGUUUCCUGAGUGCGUAACUAUCAAAAAGAAAGAAAUCUUGAUUGAAUCAUCCAUCUCAAAAGCACACUAAUUGGAGGUUUUAGAAAUAUUCUCUUAAUCAUUUUCUUUAUGAAAAACCAGAGGAAAAUACAUGUGUUUCAGCUUGUAAAAAUAUUGCUGUUACAGUGUGUCAGUGUAUGUCUGUCUCUGCUCUGUAUCACUGCGGAGAAGACCGCCCCUGUUGUGUG